UGAUCCAUCCCUCUGUCACGGCCCAAAUGACCUCCUGGCUCUGACCAAUCCUAAAGUCAGACUGGCCUUUAAAAAAUAGCUCCUCCUCCCAUGACAGGCUGACUGGACCAAAGCUCAUCUUCUGAUGGCAGAUGAAAGGCCAGUGGGACGCACUAUGUUCCCUGCUCUCCAGUUAACAUUUCCUGUUUGCCAAGGUGCGCCAUGGCCUCCUGCUCCAUCUCCUGGAAACCUACAGCUUGUUUAGCAAGAGGUUUGAGUCUGAAGGUAUUGGCUCAUCGGACUCUUCAG